rnacentral:rRNA from 1 species
AGAGUUUGAUCCUGGCUCAGGAUGAACGCUGGCGGCGUGCCUAAUACAUGCAAGUCGAGCGAACGGAUGAGAAGCUUGCUUCUCUGAUGUUAGCGGCGGACGGGUGAGUAACACGUGGAUAACCUACCUAUAAGACUGGGAUAACUUCGGGAAACCGGAGCUAAUACCGGAUAAUAUUUUGAACCGCAUGGUUCAAAAGUGAAAGACGGUCUUGCUGUCACUUAUAGAUGGAUCCGCGCUGCAUUAGCUAGUUGGUAAGGUAACGGCUUACCAAGGCAACGAUGCAUAGCCGACCUGAGAGGGUGAUCGGCCACACUGGAACUGAGACACGGUCCAGACUCCUACGGGAGGCAGCAGUAGGGAAUCUUCCGCAAUGGGCGAAAGCCUGACGGAGCAACGCCGCGUGAGUGAUGAAGGUCUUCGGAUCGUAAAACUCUGUUAUUAGGGAAGAACAUAUGUGUAAGUAACUGUGCACAUCUUGACGGUACCUAAUCAGAAAGCCACGGCUAACUACGUGCCAGCAGCCGCGGUAAUACGUAGGUGGCAAGCGUUAUCCGGAAUUAUUGGGCGUAAAGCGCGCGUAGGCGGUUUUUUAAGUCUGAUGUGAAAGCCCACGGCUCAACCGUGGAGGGUCAUUGGAAACUGGAAAACUUGAGUGCAGAAGAGGAAAGUGGAAUUCCAUGUGUAGCGGUGAAAUGCGCAGAGAUAUGGGGGAACACCAGUGGCGAAGGCGACUUUCUGGUCUGUAACUGACGCUGAUGUGCGAAAGCGUGGGGAUCAAACAGGAUUAGAUACCCUGGUAGUCCACGCCGUAAACGAUGAGUGCUAAGUGUUAGGGGGUUUCCGCCCCUUAGUGCUGCAGCUAACGCAUUAAGCACUCCGCCUGGGGAGUACGACCGCAAGGUUGAAACUCAAAGGAAUUGACGGGGACCCGCACAAGCGGUGGAGCAUGUGGUUUAAUUCGAAGCAACGCGAAGAACCUUACCAAAUCUUGACAUCCUUUGACAACUCUAGAGAUAGAGCUUUCCCCUUCGGGGGACAAAGUGACAGGUGGUGCAUGGUUGUCGUCAGCUCGUGUCGUGAGAUGUUGGGUUAAGUCCCGCAACGAGCGCAACCCUUAAGCUUAGUUGCCAUCAUUAAGUUGGGCACUCUAAGUUGACUGC